GUGCGUGGACGUUUCCCCUCAGGCGAGACAUGGCUUCUGAGGAAUCUAGGUACCUGCUGGUUCACGCCGCUUCCGACUCAUACCCGAGGGUUUGCCUUUGUCUGGGGUCCAGCUCCAUGGUUGCUGAUACCUGAAGUCUCCUUACUUAAAGAGAGAGGCAUAGUGAACCCUGCUUGUGUGUUAACGAACUGGGUUAUGGUCUUCUUAGGAACCCAUCGAAUUUCAGGAUGUUAUAGUAAGCACCAUUAAUUACUCUUUAUUUCUUCAGUUCCUGUGUUUUUUUUAACCUGGUGUACUGACUGUAAUGGCCACAUGAAAAUAUUAAUUGUAUUGGGGCCAGUAUCUUUUUCUAAGAUGUAAAAUAAAACCCAAUUUUAUAAAUAAAUAAAUAUAAUUUCCUUGCUGCACUCUACCUUUUCCUUAUGGUGUACGUUACAGUGAAGAAGUGCACAAUGCAGCCUGGGUAAUGUUAGUUUCAGACUGCAGUGCUUGAUGUUUGUGUGGCUGUUUUUUCUGGGAUGCCUGACCCCAGAAUUAAGUCUUAAUCCCAAAUGGAGAUGAAUUUUUGGCUUUCAUGGAUUUAAGGUUUUUUUCCUAUUGUCAGGUGGCUAGGAAUACAUUUAAAUCACAAGAAAGGUUGUAGCUCUUACAAGAGAAUAUCUUUGAUACUUCAGAAAAGAUGAUUGGUUUUUCAAAAGGAAUUGCAAGGUCUUGGAGACAGUAAGAAUACACUUUACCAGAAAGGGAGAAAAACUGUUUUGUAGUGUUAGUUUACAGAGUAAAGAUCUCCAACUGAAGCAGGUCUCUGAAAGUCUAAAAGAUGCCUGGAAAUGCAAACCAAUGCUAGAUUAUGGCUUUUGUCAAAAAUGGGUAAAGCUUAAGACACAAACAGCAAUCUCAUAGUUAUGAUACAGCACUUCAGAAAAUUCAAAUGGAAAAAGCAGUCCUCUGUGCUACAUCUACAUCCUGUCUUUUUGAUUUCUUGUCUUUUUACUUUCCAAAUUUCAAUGUCAUUAGUCCUGUGUGUGUGAAAGAAACGGUUGGGUCAAAUUUAUAGUUUAUUACAGAUGAAGGAAUAACUCAUGUUUCCUCUUCACAAAUGUGAUAAAUAGCACUUAAAACAGUUUCAGAUGUGAUAGGACUGUUUCUGCUUGCAUGUUAUAUCUAAAAUACAAACCAUACGUGCUAUCAUAUGACAUAAAAAAUAAUGGUAAUACACCAGCAUUUAAUCUGAUUACCAUCACCAGUGAUUAAGUCUUUGAUCACAAAUGUAGCAACAGUCUUAACAAUAUGCCGUUAUUAAAUUACAAAGCAGUCUGCUACCAUUCAAAGACAAUUAAACUGACAUUCCAGAUUGGUAACACUCCGCAUAAAUCUUUAAAUAACAUUUUCCAUUCAACCAGGUAAAUACAUAAUAGAGCUAUAAAUAAAUUUGCAGAAAAUUAUCUCCAUUUUCUCUUCAAGCCACGUGCUAGUACCACAAUUUCCACCAGCAAAUAGGAGUCAGUUACAGUCAGCAACAAAGUGAAGCAGCUAAGCAGUAUACAGGCUGGUGAAGUUGCUGUGCUCAACUAAGACAAGUAAAAAUACUUUCUAACCUGCAUGCAAGUACAGCUGUUCACUGCAUAAUCUCUUGAGCCAUCCCAUAUUGUUAAUAUUAGGUUCCCAGGGUAUAAUUUAGUCCUUCACAAAACCAGAUUAAGCCUGAGAAAACAGUGCUUUAACAGAAUAAGCAAGCACUGUGCAUAUGAACCAUGAUAUUGAAUUGUUAACGAGAACAGUGUGAUACUCAUUGCCAUACACAGAAGGCAACAGAAAUUAUUCUGCAAUACCUUAUCACUUGCUGAUGGGAUUUUUCCUUCCCCUGCCUUUUGUGAUCCCAUUACUUUAAGUUCAUUUAUAUAUAACUCAGGAUUUUUAAUCCCUGAAAAUUUAUGGUAGAAAUUACAAAUAUAUAUACCUAUAUAUGUAUAUAUAUUGAAAACCAAAUCCAUAUGAAAAGGGCUAUAUAUUUCAAAUGCAGACUUAAGUUAACGGCUCUGGAAAAGCCACUACAUCUGCAAGUACAAGUUACAGACCCACAUUUUUAUGAAAACAUUUGAGCUAGCCAUUACUGGUUAAAUAUACAUAGUAUGGCAGAAAAUAUAUGUCAGGAGUAGCAACCUUAACCAUAUGUAAUUAGUUAGGCAAUAAUGUUACUCAAUCCCUGCCCUCUUAAGCACUGUUUAAAUAUUAAUUCAGUUGACUGUCACAGUACUAAAAAAAUCCAAUUGGAAUCUAUCAAUUACAAGUACUUGCACAUUUACAGAAAUAAUCACAUGAAGGCAGAGAACAAACCUGUUAUUCAUUCCAGGUGUGUACCUGUGUGUAUGUUAUGCAUUGAAAAACAAAAGCAAACAAAAAUAAACAGAACCCCCAGCCAACCAAAUCCCUCCUCCAAAACCUGAAAAAAAAAAA